rnacentral:lncRNA from 1 species
UCUACUCAACUUCAAUAGUACCACUAUUAACUAUCUUCAACUGAGAGAAAAGUUCAGAAAUAAUUCUUCCAUAUGGUAUGAGAAAAGUCAUUUCCUCCAUAAAGAUGAUUACCAUUUUCUUUAAGAAGUUAAAAAUGGUAAAAUGAAGAUUAACUCUGAUGCUCUUGGUAAGGAAUAACAAGAGAUGUUUGUCAUCACAAGUAAGCGUUUCUAGUUGUUUCAUUCAUAGACGAAGAUUUGACACUAGAAGUUGAUAUAAAACUUUUUUAAUUGAUAGUAGAAUAACAUGAAUGUUGUUGUAUUUAGAAGCUUGAAAAAAAGUUCUCUAUGAUGAAUUACAAGUGUGGAAAACAUUUUUUCAAUAGUAGAAUAAAUAAUUCCUUUAGAAGUUGGAUGCAUUUAAUGAUUGGAACAGAUAUCUCCUAUAAAUUGGAUGCAUGCAAUAUUUUGAACACAUAAUUUCUUACACCAAAAAUCUUUUUUUGUUGUAUUAUUAUUUUUCAAUAUUCUUUGUAAACAAUAUAAUUUUUUUAUAAAAAAUCAUGUUCACCUUGAUUUUUAACAAAACCGAGGGAAUAAUUUAGCGUGCUAAUUUUAGAUAUUGAUCACCGUUCUUAAAUAAAUCUUUGUUAUCCAUUUCAUAAUUAUCAACAUUCAAGACACUAUCAUUAGUGGUCCGCGUGAAACCUAAAAAAUUCUCAUUAUAAAAGUCUUAUGAUAUCUAUAAUUGAUAAAGAAACGUCAUGAAGCGCUUGAAACUAUCUACAUCCUCCACUUUAACUUUUGUCGUUAACAAUUCUUUAUGAUGGAUUGCAAGUGCAGAAAAUUAUUUAGGUUCAAGGUUUGUGUUUUUAAAUAUUCAUUUGAGUAGAAAAUCAUUUAUUUUUAUAUUUUCUUUUGUUUUAUAUCAGAAACAAAUAAAAGCAAGGUGAAACAUUUGAUCUUGCCCAAAUAUUAAGGAAUCGAAGAUUCAAUAUAUGAUCUUCAAGGAUAAAUUAAUUUUUAUUUUAAUAUUCUGUGUAAACAAUAUAAUAUUCUGGGUAUUGUAGUUUGUAAACAAAUUUUAUUUAUUUAUUUUAUGGGUAAACAAUGUAACAAAAUUCAAUUAAAAAAACAAUUUAUCUUACCCAUCGGUUUAAUUAUAAACUGAAAUGCAUGAGACAUUAGUUUUGUAAAUAAUAAAAAUACAGAAGUUGGGGUUCAAACUCAUGUGCAAAUUAAUUUAUCCCUCGGUGUUUAGAAAACCGAGGUGAUAAACCGUUACUUUUUAUGACGCCCUUCGUUAACUCGGUAUUACAGCCGAGGUAAAAUAUAUUUCACGUCCGACGUUAAAAACACUUUUUAUAUUAGUGAGUGAAAAUAUUAUACAAUUUAUUUAGUCAAGAUGAUUUUGGCACAAAUUACUCAUUUCACAGUUCUUCGUAAUCUUUAUUAAAAAAAUUCAAAAAUAUAAACGAUUAAACAUAAAAGCACUUAAAAAUAAAGAAAAAAUUAUUAAAAAAGAUGUAAUGAUUAUGUGUCAUCAUAACUCUUAAUCAACCAUAAGUCAAUAUCCAUGAAGUGUCGAGCAAGAACUUAACAUAUUUGGUUUGAACAACCAAAUGUGAUUUGUACCAUUACUAAAAUAAGUAAAAUUAACUAAAACUUUCAAGAAAAUGAAACUUUCUAAAUUUACCAAAUUUUAUAAUGAAAAUGAUGAAUUCUUUCUUAAGCACAUUUUUAAAUACACUAAAGAAUUAUGUAAAUUUCUUAAUGAGAAAUGAUUAUAGACAGGGUUCUUUCCCAUGUAUUUUAACAUAACUAAUACUUAUAGUUUUAACAUAACUAAAGCAAAUGAUUUUUUGAACAUUUUUUUAAAAGAUAAACAAUUGAAAUUAUUUAAAGAUCACACAUUAGUAAUGUCAAUAGACCCAAAAGAGCAUAAACAUUAUAAAUUUUAAAACAAGUUUGACUAUUUUACCAAUCAUUGUGAAUGUUUCAUAAACUUAAUCCAAAAGGCUAUCGUGGAUUGAUAAAUUGUGGAUUAAUCAACGAAUUCAAAAUACCUUCAAGGUACAAAUUCAACGUAAGAUUGAUAGGUGAUAUAUGAGAACUAAUGCUUAUCAAGGGAGGUUACUCUUUUAGAAUGGAUAUUAUACAUGUGGUAGAUCAAAACAAAUGAAUUUAAUUAACUCAACAAAGCUACCACAAUUAUCUAAAAGGAAAAAAAUUAGAAGAAAAUUCAUACUUAAUAAGAAAUAAUGAUGGAUGUAAAAAUCGGUAUUAAUUUUUACUUUAUCUUGUAACUUAUGUUUCAUAAGUCUCAAUACCAUUUAUUCUUUACAUAUAUGAAGGUCUAAAGAAUUUGAGAGUGCGUCAUUGACUAGUUAAGAAAGAAAAUAGUUUUUCUUUUUAAAUAAGCAAACUUUGAUUAAUUAAAAAAAACUAACAAAAAAAACAAGGCGAUUGCUCGGAUCCAACCCUCAACGAAACUAAUAACAAAAAACAAAGCUAAUAUAUCAUCAAAUUAGCAAUGUGUUUUCUAAUUUUCUCAUCAUACCAACCUCUAUACACAAUCAUGUCUAUAAUAUUUCCCGCUAUUUUGGUAUUAUCCAUAUUGUUUCCAAAUACCUUGUCAUCCAUAUACUUCCAAAUGUCAUAUAUAGCUUUAGUAGCAACCAACUUUAACAUAGCAACCCACCCCCAUUUUCCUUUACUAUGCUUCAAAAUCUAAUGCAUUUCUUCAUUCCAUUCCUCGUGCUCGUGAAUGAUUUGGAUCCAAUAAAGAAUCUUGCACCAAAAAUUCUUUUCAAUUCAACACACCCAAAAGACAGAUGAUUCACAGUCUCCUCCUUGUCACAAAAAUAGCACCGGGUGUUGUCCACCAUUCCAAACUUGUGAAGUUUUUCCCUGGUGACUAGUUUCCCAUGGAAAGCAGGCCACAAAUUCAUCAUAACUCUAGGUCGAGUAACAUUGUUGCAUAACAAAGUCCUCCGAACUAGUUUCCCAUGGAAAGCAGGCCACAAAUUCAUCAUAACUCUAGGUCGAGUAACAUUGUUGCAUAACAAAGUCCUCCGAGCCAUAUCUUGUUCAUCAUCUCUCAAUUUUGCAUACAUGGUCUUCAUGUGAAAUUUACUCUUAUUAAGCAUUUGAUCCCACAAAUUCUACACCUAUGUAAUGUUCUCCCUUUGGUGCAGGAUUACCUUCAUUAUCCAAGUGUUGUUAGGUCUAAUAUUCACCUUCAUCAUGCUAUUGUUUUUGAAAUAAUAUGUAUACACCUAUUUAACCCAUAAGUUGUCCGACUUACCACUAAGAUUCCAAAGCAACUUCAUCAUAACAAUUUUGUUAUAGGUUUCCUACUCAAUAACGUUUAGACCUCCUUGUUUCCUAGGCUUGCAAAUGUUCUUACAAGCAAUUGGGCUCUUUAUACCGAUAUCAUCUCCACCUGUCCACAAGAAGGACCUACAAACAACAUCAGUUCUCUUUAUCAAACUCUUGGGCAGAGGGAAACAUUGCAUCCAAUAGUUAGUAAUGACAAAAGAGAUAUUAUUGAUUAUCUAAACUUUUCUUACAUAACUCAAAAGCUUAGUGCUCUAGUGUUGAACCCUACAAACAAUCUUAUCCACAAGAAUCAUGUAGUGAUGUAUGGAAAGCUUCUUACAAGCCAGGGGGACGCCUAAAUACUUAAAUGGAAGAGGCCCUUCCAUAUAAGAAGUUAAUCGGAUAUUGCUCUCCUCAGUGUUAUCAUUAACUCCACCAAAAUAGAUUAUGCACUUGCUAGGAUUAACCUUCAAACCUGUAGACCAAGAUAAGCUCUUAAAAGCAUUCAAUAACAACUCAAUAAAUCAUUGAUUACCUCUUGAGAAAAGCAUCAGAUCAUUUGCAAAAGUCAGAUUUGUGAUAUGCAACUUUUCACACUUUGCAUAGUGGUUAAAGUCAUGGAUUUUUUGCAUCUUGUGAAGGCCUAUAUUCAAAUACUCCAUAUUAAUGACAAAAAAGUAAAGGGGAUAUGGGGUCCUCUUUUCUAACUCCUCUCCUAGCUUGCAUAUUUUUUAUGUACUCGUCAUUAAUGUUAAAUUUGUAUGAGACAGUGGUCACAGUAAGCAUUAUCUACCUCAUGAAUUGAUGGAUCAUACCAAUCUCUUGCACAAUGCACUCUAAAGCUCUAAAGUCAACCAUGCCAUAAGCCUUUUGUAAGUUAAGUUGGAGUAUACAUAUGGGGAUCCUCCUUCCUAGCAUAACCUUUAAUUAUCUCAUAUGCUAGGAGAAUUUGGUUUUGGAUCUGCUUCCCAGGAACAAAAGUAGCCUAACAUUGCCUAAUAAUGCUCCUAAGAACCAUGCCUAAUUGAGCUGUCAAAACCUUUGAUAUAAUCUUGUAGGUUAUGGUACAAACAUAUAUUUGUCUAUGGUCUUUAAUGUAUUUGGAAUCAUCACUCUUUGGGAUAAGAGUCACCACAAUGCAAUUGAAUGCCUUGUACAAUCUUUCUUUCCCAAAAAACUCCAUGAUAGUUGUUAUCACAUCAUCUUUUAUAGUGUUCCAAUUGGCUUUAAGAAAUCUGGAAUCAAAGCCAUCUAAACCAAAAGACUUAUGAUCAUUAAUAUCUAUCAAGGCCUUACAAAUUUCUAGUUUAGUGACAGGUCUAACAAGAUACUCCCUCUGCUCCAUAUUAAGUUGGGCUUCAUCUCUCAUGGCUUCUAUAUCAAUAUACUGUAAGUUGUUAACCCUCUUCCCCAUUAGCUUCCCAUAGUAAUCUAACACUUCAUUCUCAAUCUCUUCUUGAGUUGUCAUAUUGGUACCAUCUUCCAUAUAGAGAACCCUCAAACUCUUAGCAUUUUGAUUUGAUUUAAUUGAAGCAUGAAAGUAAGAAUUAUUUCCAUCCCUCAAUCUUAACCAAUCAAUCUUGGCCUUGUGUUUUAACAUAUCUUCUUCUAGCUCAUUCCAUCUUAUAACAUUCUCAGUACAUUUCUUUACUUCCUCAAUCCCAUGGUUAUUCAUUAUGACCAUAAUGAGAUCAAACCAAGCCUUCUCAGGGUCAAUUCUAGCUUUGGCAAUAUUCUGCUGCACAUGAGCAAGAGGUCUGAUAGCUUCUUUAAAAUAGGUUUAAGUAUUUUCAACUUACUCCAUAACACAUACAUAGGCAUGCCAACCAAGGGCUCCCUCUAACUUCUAGAAACAACUUCGUCAUACCUUUCCAAAUUAGCCACACAAUUGAAAAACUUAAAUUUAGUUUUCUUGAUUCUAUCAUGCUCCUGGUAUAUUAAGAAAAAAAGUAUGAUCAAAUACACUUGGAGGUAAGAUUUGUAGGGAUGUGUACAAAUGAGCUUGAAACCAGUCCACAUUCCCUAGGACCUUAUCAAAACUAGAGUAAAUAUUUCCCUAAAUGUGCUUAUUUGACCAAGUAUAGUAAUCUCAUAUACUAUCCAUCUCAAACAAACAAGUCAUUUCCAUCAUUUUGUGUAUAUCAUUAUAUUAAGCUUUUGUCACCAAAUUACCCCUAACUUUGUCCUGAGCCUUGAUCACAUUAUUAAAAUCUCCAAUUAAACACCAAGGUCCCUAUUUCUUCCCACAUAAACCCUCAAUGUCUCUCCACAUAAUUCUUCUUUGAUCUAACUUGUUAAUAGCAUAUAUCGCAGUUAGCCAAAAUUUGAAGUCACCAUUCUUGUCACAAACUCCAUAAUGAACCAUAUGACUAGUACUUUUCAUAUGCUUAACAUCAAUCUUAUUAUUAUUCCAUUCCACCAAAACUCUACCAUUAUCAUGGUGUUUAUAAUUGGCUAGGUAUAAUCCCUUAAGGUUUAGUUUAUUUCUAAUAUUCUUAGCUUUGUCAAACUUCACCCUAGUUUCAAGAAGAAUAUUAAUAUCAGGCCUAAGCUAUAGGAGACGGGAGCCAAUCUCCCUGAGCUAACCUAUUUUAUUUAUCCCCCACAUGUUCCAAGCAACAAUCAUGGACCAAUAUCUUGAGCCACUAGAGUAUCAUUCAAAAUCCAUAGGGAAGUAAAUUCGUUCUCACAUUGGACUAUAAUAGAUGAACCUUCAUAUAAUAUCCCUUUGCCUCGAUCUCUUCCACUUUUAUUAACCCUUAUCCAUUCUUGUUGCUUCUCUUCAGUAUGUAUACUAGCCUCCUUUGAACCUCCCUCAUCGGAUACAAGGUUUUUUUUUCUUCUGGUGGUUUAUGUAUAGGCCUCCAUUGCAUCUCUCUAGACUUUGUCAUACCACAUUGGUGUCCCAUCUUUUGACAUUUCCUGCAGAAUAACGACUUCCAUUUGUAUUCCACUACCUAUUUCAUCUUCUUCCCUUCGUUGUCCUUGAUGGUGAUAUCUUGCGAUAAUUCUUGGGUGAUAUCAACUUCAACCAACAUUCUUGCAUAAAAGACUUUUAGUUUAUUUGUCGUGCAUUCAUCUGUUACGAAGGGAUUCCUUAUGGCACUUCCAAUCUUAGUUAAGCUCUUGACCCCCAAAAGUAUAACGGGAGUUAAAGGAGUUUUAUCCAUAAGGGUAGGGUUCUCAACAUGUCUUUUUUCAAGUUGAAGUUUGACCUCAAUUCUCGCAGCAACAUAGGCAUGUUCCUGAUGGUGUAUGAGUCAUUCAUCAUCAUUGUAUCCUUGUCCUUGUACGAUUUGAAUUUGAGCAGAAAAUACCCUUCAUCAUAGUAGAACAUGUCUGGAAAUUAGGCAACGUUCCAUGUCUUAAUCAUGUAUUACUUCACUGUAUUCAUACUCAAAUCACCUCAAAGAACAUACAUUAUCAAGGUUGUGUCCCAUAAUGUUACCUCCGCUUCAAUGUCUUCUUCCUUGAUCUCACCAUUCACAACCUUUGGAGCUACGGAUUCCAUUAUCUUGCCUUUUGUCGAAUUCCAAUUAUCAUUAAGAACAUCCACCCAUAACUUCCUUAUCUCCUUUGGUACUUAUAUAAUUAGGGUUCUCGUUUCUUUAUCUUCCUCAGUCUCCUUGCUUCCACUAUUUUCACUUGAACUAACAUUGUUUUUGUGUUUGUUGAUUCCUCCGUCUCAUCUUGGUCUUGCAUUUCCGUUUGUGUUACUCGAUUUCCACAAUUUUCCGACGACUAUGGCACUAUUCUUUUCGGCCGCCCUUGUCCCUUUGUUAUCGCUCGUUCUGAAAGAAAAUAGUUGAACAUGUAAUAUGUGUUAAACACUUAAUAUAAAUUUGAGAAUUAAAUUUAAAACAACUUAAAGAUAAAAAGACAAGAUAUAUUAUUUAGUUGGCGAUAAAAUGAAGCAUUUAAAAAUAUUAAAAUGAUACUAUUCUUAAGAGCAUGUUUGAUUAAAAAUAAAUAAAAAAGAUAUAAUUUAAUGAUUAUCUGUUAUGACUCAAGUGAGUCUCUAAAAUUAAAAUCACAUAAAUUUUGUUGUAUGGAAAAAGGAGAUAAAUUUAUUUUAAAUAUAAAGUCAAUUAUUAAAAGAGGACCAUAAAGAAUAAAAUAAAAAAAAUUGGGAAAAAAACAAUGUUAGCUUUCCUCCAAAAUAAGGCCAUAUUUCUAUUAUUUGGCCUUAAAUAUUUUUUUAUUCAAUAAUAUCUGAAGUAUCACUAUUGUAAUAAAAAUUUAAUUUUAUAUUUUGUCUCCAUUAAAAUAUGUCACAUCAUUUAUCAAACAAAACAUUUUUACAAAAAUAAUAUCCUUUUCCUCCCUUCCUUUUCUUUUCACUAGAUUAAAAUCCUUUUCAUGGCUAGAAGAAAAUUAAAUAGAGUAAAUGUGAAUGAUUAUUUUAAACUUGAGUCGUGUGAUUCAAUUAUUUAAAGGGUAGAACGUAAAGAAAAUAAUCAAAUUUAUUUCAUAUUUUAAUAAAUAUCAUUUUAUUUCAUUUGAUCUUAAAUACGAUAAUUGUGUGAAAUAUAAUUAUACAUUUUUUCCAUUGAAAUCUCUCUUCCUCUUCCAUCAAUUUCAUUAUCUCAAUUAAAAUCUCUCUUCACCAAUUUACUAUUAUGAACAAAAUAAACUAUAAAACAAUAGAUAAAUUCAAAAUGAUAUUAUAAUAUAAGGUCAUAAGAAAAAUAGUAGGUAGUUUUUAAUAUAUUUGUUUUGUAUUACUAUUGUAAUCAUAAACGAGAGGAUUUUGUAGUAAUCUUUUGUAUUGAGUUAGAUUAUUCCUACUCUUCUUUGAUAUCAUUUACUUAUAAAGAAAUUGAACAAAAUAUUAUUUGAAUUUGAACUAAAAGUAAUAUAUAUAUAUAUAUAUAUNAUAAAUAAAUAUUUAAAACUCUAUUUAAUAAAUAAAUAUAUCACCACAAUUUUAAAAAAACUUAUUUGUUAUUUUGUUAUUUUCCCUUCAACUCACUCAAUCAAAAUAUUAAAAAGAGUAUUUAAUUAAAACAUUGAAAAAACUAAAGAUAAAAAAAAUGAUAUUUGAAAAUAAUAUAAAACAUUGAAAUGGUUCGCAAGUUCUAUUUCAAUUUAUAGAAACUGAUAUUAUUAAGUUAGAUAUCAGAGUUUAAAUUUAAUGUUUAUAAUUGUAUAAGAGUUUCUAAUAAUUAUUACUUCUUCAUUUAUGAAAAAAUAUCGAAAUGAAAUUAUUUUUAAAAGUAUAUUUGGUUUGAAGAAAAUAAAACAAAAAAGAAAAAUAUAUUUUGUAAUUUUAAUUUUAGAUGUUUAAUUUAAAAGAAAAUAGAAUAUGUAACUUAAAUUAUUGACCAUCGUGUAUUAUGCAAAAUGGGACGGAAAUUUUCAAAUAAAUGAUAUUACAUAGUUAAAUGAUGAAUUCUUAUAAAAUCUUAGUUUUGUUUAUUAAUGAUAACUUAGAUUAAACUCUCUCAAUUUGAAGAUACUAGAUUUUAUGUAUCUUAUUUUUUCUUAAUAAUAUCUUAACCAUAAAUUUAUGUUUCCCAAACUUGUAAUUAACUUUUGUAAUCUUUCAUCAUGACUUGGAGUAUUCUUACCUUAUAAAGAGAUCAUAUAAAAUAUAAAAGAAAAUUGAGAUUUUCUUUAAAUAAUCAAUUUUUUCAAAUUAAAUAUUAAAAUUAAUUAUCAAACUAACCACUUUCUAAAUAAAAAAAAUUACACGACAAGAGCAAUAGUCCGGACAAAUGGCACAUGCGUUGUCCUUUUGCACUAAGGCGCCAAUGGUGGUGGCGAAAACAUUUACUACAUGUCACUGCAAGUGACGCAUGCAUACAUCCAAUAGAAGCAUGCGCAACAUGCAAGAGCUACUCCUCUAUUUGCAACUUCUAUUUAUACAACAUCCUUUCUCCAUCAUUUUCACACAUCUUAUUACUAUCCCAUUCCAUUUUUUUUCAAAAUCUCUGCAUAUAUGUGUCCUUAUAUUCACAAGAGAAAUGCCGAUUUAAUUUAUUCGGUAGUAAAACCUCUAAUGAAGAUCCGACUCUGAAAUACAGAGACGUUCAAACAUCUUAACUGAGCUUUAUUUGUUGGUUACAUAGAGACGUCGCAGAGGGUGAAAAUAUUAGAAGAAUUAAAAGGUUUGUUACCACGUUCAAUCAAAAUUGAGAAGUUCGUUUCUGGGACAAUGUUAAAACUGCCAGAGAUGUCCACAUGAUGAUGUAUAAUUCUCAGGAAAUUAUCCUGAUGGUUGUAAUCACAUAGUAAUGUUGUUAAGUCGUUGUACUUGUUUGUUUUGUUGUUUAAAUUAUUGUUUAGUUGUUGUUUUUAAAUUAUUGUAACCAAAUGUUAUGAUAUUUAUGAAAUGAAAGUUGUUUUUAAUAUAAAGCAAAAUGGUUACGUUUAAAAUUAUGUUUUUGUGUUUGGUCCAACAUUGGGACAGUUUGUACGAUUGCAUCCGGGUUGGUGACAUGAACUACAUAAUCUCACCAUUUUGUUCGCCGUAUCCAUUUUGGUUCGAAUAUGCAUGCUAUUAGGGCGGUCCUUUUUCUUUCUUCGCAUUUUUUCAUUGUGUCAGACUAUCUCCCUUUGAUAUGCAUGCCAAUAAUCCUCUUUUUCUAUCACCAACAAGUUAUUGUUGUAAAUAUUGCAUAGGUUUAUGACUUUGUAAACGACAGAUAGUAAGUUGGAAGGGUCAUGUCAAACCUUUGAACAUGUCACUAUGACAUGGGAGCAAGGCAUACAAAAGACUUGGAACUUUCUGCAGUUGCACCAACCUUUAUCUAGUUCCAUUCAACAGUAUCCCCUCAGUCUACCUUCAUUAUGAUCCAUUGACUCAACAACAAUGAAUCAACCCUUUAGUACAUUCAAACACUUUGACCACGUGUGUGUUAGCUUUGUUGGCUUCCUCCUUAAUGAAUUUCAUUGAACCAUCAUUCAACAGCUGCCCCGAUUGUGACACUGAACUCCAUUUAGAAUGUCUGAUCUUAAACAGUGUCCCUAACCUAAAAUAGGUUGCUCUAACUACAGAGAUUAUUGGUAGGUUUCAUAUGCCUUUGAAGACAAGGUUCAUUGAUUCCACGAGAUUUAUUGUCAUGUGGCUCCAUCGUUGACCAUUGUCAUAUGCUCUAUUCCACUUCUCCAAUGGAAUAUUGUCGAUCCACCUUACUGCAUAUGCAUUUGUCAAUCUGAUGUCUUCACGCUAGUGUUUGAAGGAAGGUUCUAUUAAUGCAUACCAUGCGUUCACAACCUUCUUCUGCAACUUCUUGUCUUUGAUCUCCCGCAUAAAAUUUUGAGCGAUGUGUCUAAUGCGGUAGACAUGCAUUGAAGGAGGAUCCUGCCAGCUGUUAUCAAGGUUUUUAUAGGCACUCUCAAUUAAUGGAUGUCUGUCUAAAAUCAAACAUAAGUUAGACUGAGGAGCAACAUGUAAUCAAAUAUUUUUUAAGAAAAAAACUCCAUCCACCAGCAGUGUCCCCUUCAACCAGAGCAAAAGAUAUUGUAAAAAUGUUGUUGUUGCCAUCUUGUGCCAUACAUAAUGGCACAUGCUUUAAAAGUACAACAUAUGCACCAUACCCAAUGGCAAAUACUUUGGAUAUCACAUGCAAAAAAGAAUCAUGUGAAUGUGUCAUUCACAUCUAUAAAUAUUGAUGUGUUUCUCAGCAUUUCCAUCAAACACACUCAAUCCAUCUACCUUGUAUGCAACAUACACUCAAUAUACCCACUUUGUCAGCAACAAAUACUCAAAAGCAUUCAAUAAAAAUGUCUCUACUAACCAUGGGUGAUGAACAUCGAGGAACUAUCGACAAUAUUACAGAGUUUGUAAGUUACUAUUUCUUAAUACUAUAGCUUAUUUAAUUUUCUUAAUAAUAUAGUUUAUUACUUUUUCUUACAUAUUUCCUUAAUAAUCUUUUGUUAGGAACCAAAGAAGUUUUGAUGCUGUGUACAUGAAUAUCUACCAUACAAUCCAUUGAUAGAACCAUACUUACGAGUAAGCGGUUUUGGUAAUGUACUUAAUAUAGUCUCAUACUCUAUUGAUUACAAAUUUAUUCUUGCUUUAGUAGAAAGAUGAAGACUCGAGACCCACACAUUUCACCUUUCAUUCGGUGAACGUACCGUCACACUAGAGGACAUCUACAUGUUGUUGGGUCUACAUAUCGAUGGUAAAAUUGUUAAUGGUAGAGUUAACCAAGAUAACUCUAUAUGCGAAUAAUUGUUGGGUGCCCCUUUGUGUGAAGACACAACUACAAGAUAAAUUUCGGGUCAACCUAGGGGUCAAUGUAUUAAUUUAAAAUAUCUUAAACAAUAUUAUUCAAGUAUAACAUUAAACGAAGAAUCGACUGAUUAUGAAAAGAUAAUUAAAGCUCGGUGUUAUAUUAUGAUUUUAUUUGGUAAUUUUUUAUUUCCUGGAAGUACUGAUAAUACGGCAAAUAUUAUGUAUUUGUCGUUGUUACGAAACAUAAAUAAAGUAGAAAUAUAUAGUUAGGGUUCCGUUUUUUUAUCCCAUCUAUAUAGUUCAUUGUGUAAAAAUGCAAAAAAGAAUACUUAUACGUUUUAUUCUUGCGUCUUUUUGCUACAAGCACGAGGUUGGUCAAUAAUUCCAUCACUUGCCCCGAUUAACGAGAAGUCAUUCGCAACAAAGUAAAUUUAUCUUAAAUCUUCAAAUUUGUUAAGCUUUAUACUACAACUAAAUAUAACUAAUAUAUUUUCAAUCUUUUCGUUUUAGGUGGUUAGCUCUGGGGAUGAACUACAAUAGGUGUCCCAAACACGCUAUAAUAGUCUAUCACAAUCUUUUAGAUCACCUUGGACCAGACGAUGUAUUACAACUAAACAACUCUAAAUUUGAUUUUAAAAAUUACCAAAUUACAAAUCUUCUAAUCAUGUAUUUUUCUCAUACAGUUUAUAAGGAGUCUGUAUCUGGGCCUUAACCAUCAGGUUAACCCUGAUGAUGCUGCAGUUUGGAUAACGAAAACAUUAAUCAUCAGGUUCACUACUGUGGAGAUGCACUAGAGUGACCAUGUGAAACUGCAGUUCGGCAUGCAACAACAGAUUCCAGAUCCUCCAACGUGUUUGGGAGAUUGACAUCAACAAAAAGUCAAUGUCCAAUAGGGUUAUUCCAAUUGGAGAGAAUUCGUUAAAGAGAUGUGUUGUCAUUGGAAGAAUCGACAUCGAUACAACUUAAAUGAACUGAUCAUAUAAGGUGCUAGACUAACUCAACAUCAUAUGGAUUGGUUUAGGUCAGUUACAAUGACAUUGUUUGUGCCCGAGUCGAGGUAUUUCAUUGAUCCACGCCAACAAGCUUCAUCGUCGUACACCAAAUAACAAACCCCCGCCCAAUAACUAACCCCGCACCAUUAUCAAAUCCAAAAACAAUGUCAACUCACCCAAACCCAACGACCAACCUCACAGCGCCACCAUACCAUAUACACUCUGUCAUACCCCAAUUUUGUCAGGGUAUUUUAAAUUCAUCGGAUACAUGUCCAUUUGUCAAGUUUUGUAUUUUUAGCCAUAUGCAUUUUUAUCAUCAAAUAAAGUCAUCAUAACCAUGCAUAUAUGCAUUAUAGUAAAAAAGUCAACAUAAAGUCAAUAUUUUACAAGUUAAAUAAAUUGACUAAAAUUGCAUUUUUCCAUUAUGCAUUUUAAAAAAUAAAUUCAUGAUCAUUUGAUUUACCAUCAAAAUAUCUAUUUGAAUUUUAUUAAUCAUUUUCAUGCAUCAUAAAACAAAAAUCAAUGUUUCUAGAAGGUCCAAAUCAUCUCUCAUUUAUUACAUCAUUAUUCCAUGUAUAUAUUACAUCAUUAUUCAAUGCAUAUAUUAUAUCAUUAUUCACUAUUUAAUUAAAUAAAUUUGUACAAGGCACUCACACUCUUUGCAUAAUUUCUAAAUUGUCCUUUCUAGAGCCUAUAAAUAAAUCAUAUUUCAUUCACAAAUUAAGCAAAACCUCUCUUCAUUUUUCUAAAGUAAUUUCUUUCUUUCUUUAUUGAAUUUUAUUUUUGGUAAGCUCUUAUGCUUGACAUUUAUUUAAUUCCAUUGCAUUUUUAUUCUUACUUCAUUUAUUUAGUACCUUAAUUAUCACCAUUUUGCAUGGAAACUCCAUUAAUUUAAAAUCAAGAGUUUAAAAUGUUUUUGAACCUCCAUGGACAAAAGUGAUUAAAUAUGAAUUAAUUUUUGUUUAUUUAAUUUUCUUUGUAUUAUUAUUAUUGCUUCACUUAAUUAGUACCUUAAUCAUCACAAUUUUGCAUAGAAACUCCACUGAUUCAAAAUUAAGAGUUUAAAGUGUUCUUGAAUUUUCAUAAACAAAAGUGAUUAACUUUGAUUUAAUUUUCGUUUAUUUAAUUUUCUUUGCAUUAUUAUUCCUGUUGCACUUAAUUAGUACAUUAAUCCCUACUAUUUUGUAUGGAAACUACAUUAAUUCAAAAUCAAGAGUUUAAAGUGUUCUUGAACAUCCAUGAACAAAAAUGAUCAAAUGCAAAUUUAUGUUUGUUUUACAUAAAUAAUAUAUCCAAUAACUUCUCAACAUCAUCCCGAACAUGAAUCCAUAGUUCGUUUGUCAUGAUGAUGGAUAAAAUUGUCAAAUCAAGCAAAUAUAUGCUGCUGGGUUUUUGUUAAUUUUUGAAUUUUUUGUUGUUUAUUUGCUGAUUUUUGAUACACCAUUGUGUUCGUGAAAUCGAGUAGCUAAAUUUACAUUAUUUAUUUGCUUAAAUCCAUGAAAAUAUAAGAAAGUUAUAAUGUUUUUACGUUUUGGUUGUAACAUUUUUUUUCUAUUUUUGUUGUUAUGAGAAUAAUAAUCAAAUGUGGGAUUGGUGAAUGUAACACCCCAAUUAAACUAAGCUAAUUAUUUAAUUUAAAUUAAUAUUUUAUUUAUUAAUUUAAUCGAAUAAUUGGGAGUUUGGAUUAUUAUUAUUAUUUUGAAAUAAUAAUUAUUGGGUUAUUAUAGAGCAUGACAGGAUAAUUUGAUGAUUUUUGUGAAAUGAUUGUGUGACACCCUUCGGGGCAUAAUUACUCUGAUUAAUAUGUUAAUAUUUUUAAUCAAAUAAUUUGGGGUAUUAAGAGGGGUGUUACAGUGAACACAAAACCUCUCCACAUCCCUUGAUUAUUCAACACACUUAUGUGGGGUUUCUCCUUUAAACCUAGAGCAUUUUUCUUACUAUACCCUCAAUUUUUAGUCUCUUUUUGUCUUUUGUGUUUUAUUUAUUUAUUAUUUUCUUAUUAUUGUUUUAUUUAUUUAUUUUUGUUCUUUCUUUUAUUUCCUUUAGUUUUUUUAGUUCUUUUACCUUUUGUAUUGAUAUUAUGAUUUCCCUUUUAUUAUUUCUUUUACUUUUUUUUAUUACUUUAUUUUUUAGUUUAUUUUAUUGUAUUUUUAGUUGAUGCAUAAUUGUUAAUCCAAAAAGACAAAAUGACCAUUAAAAUUAAACUUUCAAAAAUACUAAAAUAAAAGGUGUUUGAUCAACAUCAAGUACAUUUUUCAAAAGCAUACUAAGUCUUUUUCUUUAAUAAGCGCCUCAUAUCAUUUCAAACCAUUUCAUAAAUCAUUUUUACUAACGCGAUAAACACGCAAUCAACAUCAAGUUGCAUGUCCGCUUACUCUAAGCGAUUAAAUACUUUUCUUAAUUAAACUUCGAAUGAAAAAGGGAAUGGGAGACGUUCGCCUCACCACCCCUCGAAUGAUUGAACGAUUGACGCUUGUCAUAUUACUCGAAUUUCCGUCUUCCGAUUAAAACACUCUAAAUAAACUUGGAUAAAGGAAUAAGUGACACACACCUCAUUAUUCCUCGAAUAAGCAAGUGGGAGGUGCUCGCCUCACUACCGCGAAUAGUCGACUUCCACAAACAAUUUUCAAAUACCAAAUUGGACAAAAAAGGAACGGGGACACUCACCCUCACUAUUCCUUGAAUAAGUGAAUAAUUGACGCGCACCAUAUUGCUCAAACUUUCGUCAAUCCCCCUAAAAAACAUACAAACACAUUAACUUAAUUUCUCGCCUCUGUGGGAUCAACACCUUCUUUUUGAAAAGAACAUUGUUAAAUCAUUUCUAAUGCAUAUACAAACUAGCGCUUAAGUCUCCCUCUACGAGCAUGCAAGCCCAUGUUUAACCGUUAGAAUUCGAUCUAAGAACUUAUUCAUUAAAACAAACUUCAAACAAUCAAACCUAUCUUUUUCUCGCCCCCGUCCGAUAAAAAUCCUUUUCACAAAUGGACAUUGUUUAGUCCUUUCUAAUGCGUACACAAACUAGCGCUUAAGUCUCUCAUGCGCGAGCAUACAAUUAAAUAUUUAAACUGCUAGAAUGCGACCAAACGAGAUCCCUUCUACUGCAAAAGAAACAAACACUAAGUCCCCCCAUCCGUGAGCAAACAAGUUAAUGUUUAAACUGUUACAAUGCGACCUAAAUAUUUGUCCUCUAAAAUCAAUCAAUCAACACUCUUUUGCUACCCCGAACUACGAAGCUUUGAGUUCCUCAUUGUACUCGAGGAUACGUAGGAGCAAGACUCACAAUUUUGUCAAACAUUAUAAUAAAAAUAUUUUUGCGACCCCUUUUAUUUUACACUUUCAAUAACUCGAAGAAAAUAAUUAACAUAAGCCAACAUUCAAUCGCGAAUUUAACUAAAAGGUUCACGUUGAGUACAACAGACGUGAGUGGUGCUAAUACCUUCCCCUUGUGUAAUCUACUCCCGAAUUCGAAUUUGUUUGUGACAGUCAUUUUCCUUUUUUUAAGGUUUUAUCAAUAUUUUCCUAUUCCUUCAUUAAAAUAAAUAAAGUUCAGUGGUGACUCUGUUCGAAUCAUUUUUUCUGUGACUUCGCGAAGGAUCAUAUUUUUUGAGAUGCGACACACCCAACCUCCAAACACUCAACUUUGCAACCAAUAGAUGCCACACACCCAAACAAAAUACCAAGAGUAUGACCCAUGACACCAAUAACCACAUGCUCCCACCACAUAUUACUAUAGCCUCAAUGAUUCAUUUGAUUCCAUAAUAUCCCACCAUAGCCCCCCACCAAUGAACACCCAAACAUCCCACCACCAAAGCAUCCAACCACAAUAUGACUUUGUUACACCACAAGAAUCAUUGCUUCGUUUCUAAAACGAUUUAAUGUCAUGAUUCAACCAACCAUAUCGUCCACUCAUAACCCAACCACAACGACCCAACUACGACAACAUAACCACCAAACUAAAUUACGGCAGUACCGUUGACGGUAACCCUCAACUAUUGAGAAGAAAUGAUGACAAAUAUGUCAAAUACUCCAGGACCCUCACAUCAACCACCUUUUCCUCAACCAACAUUCAAAGACCCUAAACACCUCAAAGAAAUCGUGAGAGACCUCGAAGACAGACUAAUGCACCAGGAUGUGGAACCUGAGGAUGUUUCAAUCGGGCGAAUCAUUUUAUGUAUUUGAAUUUUAUAAGGUAAUAUCAUGGAUUAUUUUUAAUUUUCUUCUUUAUUUCAAAUUUUUUAAAUUAUAAUUAAAAAAAGUUAAAAAAUAAAUAAAGGAGUAACCACAUGCAAUGACACAUGCUCCUAAUGGAUGCAUGCAUGCGCCACUUAAAGUGAUAUGUUUUCAAUGCUGUCACCAUCAUCAUCGGUGCCUUAGUGUAUAAGAAUAAUCUAUCUGUCAUUUCUCCUGACUAUUUUUUUUGAAAAAUAGUUAUUUUGAUAAAUAAUUUAAAAAUAUAAUUGUUUUAGUGUUUAAUUUAAAAAUAGUAGUUAUUUUAAAAAAAAUUCAAAAAUUGAUGUAAAUACGUGUGAUUAAAUUUUAUUGACUGAACAUAAAAAAAAUCUAUUUAUUGAAUUUAGCGAAUGAAUAUAAAGUUUAAUUGAAAUACACUGACAGUGUAAAAUGAUUUUACAUCGUCAGUUAAUAAUAGAGGUUGAAUAUUAAAAUAAAUUUAAUUUUUAUUUUAAAAAUCUAUAAAGUAAUACAAACAAGAAAAAUGAUGAUGAUGAAUUGAUAGAGUAAAACUUUAUAACUUAAAGACAAUAGUAAUUACUCUCAUGAAUAUUUCGUCCCAUAUAAAAAACGAUGAUAUUUGUCAUUUUUGUUAUUUUUCCCUCAACUCACAAACCGUUAAAAAAAUAAUAAAAUAAUUGAAAAGAGAAAUAAUCAUGAUAUAUUUAUAAAUUCAUUAGUUAAUUUGUAGCAUUUCUGAAAUUAUUAGAUCGAAGAAGCUCCUUCCGACAAAGAAAGGUUCGCAUCAUAUUCACAAAUUUCUACUCUUUUUCUUUCUUUUCGUUUUUCUCUCAUCCAGAUCUAUAAAUUAUCAUGAAUUUGAGAAAUCAUCGUUAAUAAAAAUCCUGCUAGUGAUUUUUAUAAUUUCAUAGGUUAUUCUCUUGGAACCCUAAAUUCUGGGUUGUAUAUAGGUUAUGGAAUUGAAAUUCCAGAUGAAUUUGAUAAAAUUGUUUAGUUUUUUUUUAUAGUUUUUUUUUAUUUUUUAUAAUUUUUUUUAGAUGCAAUUGAUUUCAUUUGUGUUAUUUUGGAGGAUAUGCUGUGUUGAAACCCUAUUUUAUCGGUUGUUUUAAGUAAUUAUUUUCAAUUUCUAUAUGUAUCUUAUUUUCUUAGGGUUCAUAGAUACAAAAACUAAUUAGUUAACAUGUUAAUCAUGAUUUUACCAUGGUUUUGCAGUUUGUGAAACAUGUUGGUUGUAAUAUUUGAAGCAUUGACACCUUUGAAAAAUGUGUGACCGUGACCGAAAUCGAUAGUGACGGUUGUAAUUACGUUUAAUUUAUUGGUAUUUUCAAAUUAUUACCGGUGUCAACGUGUUAGUGUCGGUGUUGUGUUUUCGGUGUCCAUGCCUCAUAGGUCCUAAUAUUGUAUAAUAGGAACAAAAGUUAAGUAGUUAACGUGCUUAAUGCGCCAAUCGUGAUUUUAUUUUUAUGGUUUUGAAAUUGCUAAAACAUGGUUGUUACUUGUUAUGAUACUGUAUAAUGUUUACCUUGCUUAUUUUUUCAUUAUUGCUUAAUGUAGAUAUCCUCGAUGGUUAAAACCUUAAAAUCCAGGAAAUUAUUGGCUUGUUAAGGUUGUUAGUGAAACACUUUUUCCAUAUUUGUUAAAUACUCCUGCAGGUCUAACUUACUAAUAUUCUUUAUAGAAAAAAGUGUGUGUGUACUAUGUAUCUAUGUGCAUAUGUAUAUGUGUAUGAUUAAUGAGAGAAACACACACUAAAUUUUUGGACUCAAAUGUUGUUGCAGAAAAUGGAAUAUUGCAUGCUUCUGAUUUUCUAUUUCUUUUCAUCUCCUGAUAUGAUAGGUUCUAAUUGGUCAAAAACAUGUCUCAUCGCCAAGGAGGUGAUGCUGAAUAUUUUGCGGAUGAAUAUGAAAUGGAUGAUGUAGAAGAGGAUAUCGAUAUAGAUGGUGAAUCUAUUAAUAGAGAGGGAGGUGACGUUGACUCCGACGUUGAUGAAUAUGAUUACUCGGUUCGUAAUAUGCCGUUUCCUAAAUUUUUACAUUUUUUACUGUUAUGGAUAUGUUGUACACGAUGAUGUUUUAUUGUACAAUAACCCAUUUUCCAUUUAUGGGGGCGUCGACUUACUCUCCUAGUUAAAUAAAUAAUUCAUCAAGCAAAUGUAAAUUAUUGUAUCUUUCUACGAGUAACAUUAUUGUUAUGAUGGCAGAGUAGUAAAGCGGUAGACACUACAGCUGCUCAAGCUAGAAGAGGACAAGACAUCCAGGGGAUUCCGUGGGAUAGCCUUAGCAUCACCAGAGAAAGGUAUCGGCAAACGAGGCUUGAGCAAUACAAGAAUUAUGAAAAUAUCCCCCAAUCAGGGGAAAGGUCAGGGAAGGUAACAAUUUGAUGCAUUUUCUCUUUGAUAUUUCAGAGAAAAAACUUCAUAUAUGUCACCGGCCAUAACUAUGGCCAAUAUAAACCAUAGUCACAGAAUUCGCCACAGUACACAGAACUGCGGAUUGGUCCUCGAGUACCUGUUCCCGGUAUUUCUUUUUUGCGAUUUGGUUCACGCAAUUUCAUGAGAAAUUUGCAGGAAUCCGUGUACCAGAGAGGCAAAACCAUCUCUGGUUUAAUUGAGCAUUAUAAUACUAAGUAAAAUAAAAACCGGCUAAAGAAACCGUUGUUUAAAUACUGCACUGGCAAUGGGAAAUACUCAUCGCAUUAAAAAAGGGAGAUAUCACUGGCCUUCACAUGCGCCGCACCUUGCUGUACACUGGAGCGUUGGUCUAUACACUGUUUAUAUUUAGUUUACCUCUAUGUUUUCCAAGCUUCCGAUGUGGGACUAUAGUGCUAUCUCCUAAUGUCGGACUACUCCUAUAGCCCUAUCUCUCUAUGUUUGACAAGCCACAUACUUGGGUGCAUAUCCUCUAUUGGUGACUAUUGGACUAUCCUUUUUAAGGUGACUUUUGUUGGAAUCUGAUUUUUUAAACAAAUGUUAAUUACUCUUCUUGAUAAUAGAUGCUUAGAUCAUAGAUACUCAAAUAAUUAUUUUGACAAUAGGGAAUUAGUUCCUAAAAUGAAAUUGCAUUUUUUUUAAUACUAAAAAAUGCUACCGGUCUAUUAUAUUAUAAAUCACACAACUAUAUAACAUCUUAGUGCUCAGUUUUUUAACAAUAUAAAUUGUUUUUUGACGAUUUUAAUGAUAUUAAUUUAAUUUGAAUUACAAAAGAUGUAAUCUACAUAAAUGGUAAACUAAAAAUAUUUCUAAAACUUCCAUUUUCUUGAAAAUGCGAACUAUCAAUUUUUCAUUACUAUUAAAAUGUAUUUAUGGAUAGUUUGAGAUUCUUUUGUUUUUAUCAUUUUUCGUGUUGUUUUUAAAUUAGAUAUUUUUAAUUCACAGUGUACCGAUUAGUAUAUUAAAACAUAUUACAAACCGAAAUAGUGCACUGACUAUGUAUACCAUGUACCUAAUACUUUGAGGGUUGUGUACCACAUACCCAAAACCGUAACACGUACUGCAGAAAAUUGUGAACCAGGCGACUAUGAUAUAAAUAACACCAUGCUUACCUGUUCAUUAUUGUCUAUUACAAACAGGAUUGUAACAGUACAGACAAAGGAUACUCAUUUUAUGAGUUCAGGAGAAAUUCAAGAUCAGUAAAAUCAACAAUUCUUCAUUUUCAGGUAAGCUGUAGCCUGUAUCUACUCUGGUUUUUAUAAUGGAUUAAGGAUGCUCUAGGACAUUUUACUGCACAAUGGCUCUGUUUAACUGUUUUUUAUAAAUUAAAAGUUAGAUCAGCUUAUUACAAUAUGAAAUAUAUUAAACCAAUGGUCCAAACUUUAAGUCAAGUCUGAAAAGUGUUGGUACUUCAAUGCACCGUGUAUUGAAAUUGAUAGCAAGAGUAAAGGGAGAAGGAAGAGACUCUACAUCACUCUAUACCGAACGGCCACAUGAUAAAAUGCUCAUAAUCAUUGAAUAGGUUCAAAAAAUUAAAAAUAUGCAGGUAUCCAAUACCUGCAAUAUUUAUCUGGUGGCCAGUUUAAAAUACUCAGUUGCUGGUUUGAAUCAGUAUGUGGUAAGCAACUAAAUUUGGUAGAGAGAGCUCUGAGGUUUUCACAGCUGGAACAUGUGAUUUAUUAUAUAUUAUGUCAAAUUUUGUAGUCUGUUCAUAGGAUGCGAAGCUUGAGCAGUACCUUGGAUGCAAUAGGCUUCGAAGAGAUGUGAUCUCAUGUGGUUUGACUGAUAUUCCCUCCUUUUUUUUAUACUUAUGCAGUUGAGGAAUUUGGUUUGGGCUACAUCAAAGCAUGAUGUAUACCUUAUGUCUCAGUUCUCAGUAACACAUUGGUCUUCUUUGACUUGCACAAGGUCUGAAGUACUCAAUGUUUCAGGACAUGUUGCACCAUCAGAGGUGAAUAGUCCUUUAAAUAAUGUUUUUAAUUGGAUAGCCCUCUAAACCAUGUUGCACCGUCAUGUAGCACAAGGUCUAAAGAAUGGUUUGACUUCUGAUUGUUCAUUGCAUUAAUUUUGAGAAAAUAAUUGUCAAUCAUGUUUGUAAUCUUCCAUGUUAUCAUUUUUCCUUGUCAGAAACAUCCUGGAAGUCUAUUGGAAGGAUUCACACACACUCAAGUUAGUACACUUGCAGUAAAAGAUAAUCUUCUAGUUGCUGGAGGAUUUCAGGGUGAACUUAUUUGCAAGGUAAAUGUUAAUUUGCUUGUUAUUGAGGAAUACGAUUUUUUUAAAUCUGUUGCGAAUAGAGCAGUAAGUAUAAUUUGUAAUCCUGGACAUCCACAUUCUGAUCAUUCCGUGAAACGUUUAAACAAAAUUUAAAGAAUGCAAUGCACUGCUUUCGUAAGUUCAUACGCAACAUGCACAAGCAGACAUGUGAUUUAUAUGUGGUGAUGAAUAACUUUUUUAGGUAACAUUGUAAAGACUUAAAUAUAUUUUUUGUCUAUGUAAAAGAGACUGUUUUGGAAAGAUCUGCCCAAUUUUCUCAUUUUGUGGCUUCCUAAAUAUCUCAGUAAUUUAGUGUUUUUCAAAUUUUACAGACCAUGUGGAACCUAAGAACAAUUAAUGAGCAUUGUUUUAAUAAUUGGUGGAGUACUAGAGUGUUGCAACUCCUCUCUCCUUCAUUUUCCAGCCCUUUUUUAAAUUUCUUUUCAAGGAAUACUUGAAUUAUCAUUUUCAUUCAUGUUAAUCCUAAUUGGGCAUUUGCAUAUGCAUUCAGUUUGGUUUGCAUUGCUAUUAGAUUCUGCAUGUUUUUUAGUUAUAUUUGCAGAUGCUGUAGACGUGUCCCUCGGAAUUUGUUUUUGUUAUUAGAACCAUCAGCUGAUAUACUUUCAUCACUUUCUUUGUUACUGAAAUGCAGCACCUAGACCGACCUGGUGUCAGCUUUUGCUCAAGGACUACUUAUGAUGAUAACGCUAUCACCAAUGCCAUUGAGAUUUAUGCUUCUCCUAGGUAUUUAGUUUUCUUUCUAAUUGUUUUGUUAUUUUAAGAAUGGUUAUAGGUACCUGUGUUUUAAUACCAUUGGUUCCUGCUUUUUAGUGGGGCAGUUCAUUUCACAGCAUCAAAUAAUGAUUGUGGAAUCAGAAACUUUGAUAUGGAGAAGUUUCAACUCUCUAAGCAUUUUCGUUUUCCCUGGCCAGUGAAUGUGAGUCUCUUAGAUUAUGUUCUAAUCUUUUAGUUUCCUACCUCUCUUAAGAUGAUAAGUGAAUACUUUAAUUUUGUUCUUCAGAAGUUUUAUUGCCAUUUCUUUUUGCAUUAAUGAGCAAUUUUUGCAUUAUGACACAUUUGCUCUAUGGAUGAGUCGAUUGAUUUCCCACCCUAAUUUGACUUAUAAAGUUUAUUCUCGAAGUUCAACAAUUAGAAGAAAUAAUGAACAAAUUCGAGUGUCAAUAUGGGCCUUCAGCGACUAGCUAGAAUUGUUGAUAUCUUUCUGUUCUUGUGACAUUCCUUUGCUUUCUAUUUAUGUUCUCAUCUUUGUCCGUUUUUUCCCAUGCUGCAGCAUACUUCUCUCAGUCCAGAUGGUAAGCUACUUCUGAUUGUUGGAGACAAUCCUGAAAGCAUGUUGGUGGACUCUCAAAAUGGAAAGGUAGUACACUACGCCCGUUUCGGUCAAACAACCAAACACUUCUUCAGUUAGUUGCAUCCAAAGAGUACUAGUACAUGAUUGCAAAUCUUGCUAAUCCGAAUUUCCUUAUUUUGCAGACUAUUGCUCCAUUAUCUGGGCACUUAGAUUUUUCAUUUGCAUCAUCAUGGAAUCCUGAUGGCGUGACCUUUGCUACUGGAAACCAGGACAAAACCUGUAGGAUUUGGGACAUGCGAAACUUAUCCAAGUCAGUGGCAGUGUUGAAGGGAAAUCUCGGAGCUAUCCGUUCAAUCCGACAUUCUUCUGACGGCAAGUAUAUGGCUAUAGCCGAGCCUGCAGAUUUUGUCCAUGUAUAUGAUGUGAAAAGUGGGUAUGAGAAAGAACAGGAAAUCGAUUUCUUCGGUGAGAUAUCCGGCAUAUCUUUCAGUCCAGACACCGAAUCCCUUUUCAUCGGGGUUUGGGAUCGUACAUAUGGCAGCCUUCUUGAAUAUGGCCGACGUCAUAAUUACUCAUACGCUGACCUAAUGAUUUAGUCGAAUAUAUUCAAGACGAGGGAUAAAGUAACAUAAUAGACAGUGCACUUGAUCGAACAGCUUGCUUUAUGUAUCCUUUUGGGGUAGGUUGUUAAUGUAUAAAUUGAGUGUCCUGCAAGUUACCUCAAAUUUGUAGUUAUAGUAGGGCGUGUUUGUGUUUAUAAUGGUGUGUGUGUGUGGAAAGUGAGGUAGUAGGAGGCUAGAAGAAGAUGAUGGUGCAAACAGAUCUUGCUGAGUAUCAUCAUCAUCACUAUGUAAUGCAGUAGUUUUCUGUCUUGGAAAAACUCACUAUGGCAAUAACAUAUAUAUAUAUAUAUAUAUCUUGAUAUUUCUUGGUCCUAUUUGUCCAUUGAUUGUCUAGUUAGUGUUUGAGUGGAGCAUAGGUAGUAUGCAUCAUUCAAAGGAAAACUAAGUAGUUUGUUGUAUGAAGAUUUUAUGUUACAUUAGCCUUUUGUAUUUUGUUUAUCUUUGUCAAGUUUUUAUGUCCAUGUUGAUGUAUUACAAAACUUGAUGGAAUAUAUAAAUACUAAAAGAAUAGUAUUGAGAAACUAGGACUUACCUGGUUAACUUUUCCAUAAACAACUAUAAGCUUAUUAAACUUAUUUUCUAUCAAAAAGAAAAAUGUAAACUUAUUUCAAUUUUAAAAAUUAUCAUAACUUAAAAACUAAUUUAAAUUUAGUGAGCCAUGUACAAUCAAAUUAAGUUCAAGUUGCUGUAAUUUUAAGAUACUCAAUUUAAUAUUUAAUAAUAAAAAAAUAAAAAGAAGUUUUUUAUAAAUAAAAUAAUGGGUGAGUCCUAGUUUAAGUCACAAGUAUUUUUUACUUGUAAAUAAUAUAAACAGAUUUUUGCAUAAAGACAUUCUGUGUAGAUAUCAACAAUUAAAGACCACAGAGAAAAAUAAAAAAGAAAUCUAGAAUCCAAAACAAACCAAUAAAACCAAGCCAAGUCACUAGCUAAAAUCUUUAGUCCAUGGUCCAAAAUCACAAUCACAAAGCACCUUAUCUUUCUCUACCACCACAUCUUUUCAUACUAUAUCAUAUAAUUCCAUAACCAACCUUCUCUUCCAUUCCAUUCCAUUCACUCAUCAAACCAAAAACAAUGGCAGCAUCAGCAUCAUCCAUGAUCUCAACAAACGCCCUAACAUCCACACUCCAAAAACACCAAACACACAACCUCAAACCAUCAAACCUAUGUUUCCAAGGCUUCAAACCCUUAACAAGAUCAACAAAACUGACACAGAACAAAAAGAGAUUCUCAUCCCUUGUUGUCAAAGCUGAACUCAACCCUUCACUUGUGAUAAGCUUAAGCACUGGUCUGUCAUUGUUUUUAGGAAGGUUUGUGUUCUUCAACUUCCAAAGAGAGAAUGUUGCAAAACAAGGUUUACCUGAACAGAAUGGUGUGACACACUUUGAAGCUGGUGACUCACGUGCUAAGGAAUAUGUUAGCUUGCUUAAGUCAAAUGAUCCUGUCGGGUUUAACCUUGUUGAUGUUUUGGCUUGGGGUUCUAUAGGUCAUAUUGUUGCUUAUUAUAUCUUGGCCACUUCUAGCAAUGGUUAUGAUCCUAGUUUCUUUGGUUAAUUAAGAUUACUAUGUUGUUCGUUUAUGUUGUUUUAAUUUGUCUUUUCUUGUCCCUUUUAUGUUUAUUAAGAUGAUGAUGAUGAUGAUGAUGUAUAGUUUAUUUGUAUGAGAUAUUCAACAAGUUAAGUUC